ensembl:lncRNA
ACGGACUAAAAGCUGUUUUGACAGCUUCUACACAAUGAGAAUGAUUUCUUUUUCUCUGUUAUAUGUAAUCUGUUAAUCUAGUAAUGUAAUGUAAUUUUGAUGAUUCAUAUUUAAAACACAAUUAUUUUAAUAGGAUCAAUCUUAGGACCGAUCUAGUUUCUCUAAUCCUAUGACUUUGGUCUCAACGGUUGGUAGUAAAAUGUCAACAACAUUUAAAUGGAAACUUUUGUGGCAUAUCUUUUUCAAUUUGUGGUUUUAUCUUUAAAAAAAAAAAAAAAAAAAAAAACACAAACAACUUAUCUUAUUAUAAUCUUGUUAUCAUAAGAUCAUUACAGGUUUUCAUACCAAAACAUGCUGGAAAAAGCUGUUAUAUCAUAUCUAUGACUAUAAUAAAUGGACGUGAGAUUUAUUUUUGAUGUAAUUAUAUAAAAAUGUAUAGUGUAGACAAGCAGUUUGUGGGUUAUUCAAAGCUUGACUAUUUUGGGGUUUGGGGUGAGAAGCGCGCACACACAUGCACACACUUCUUUGGCAGCUGACUAUGACCUCUUCUGCCCCACAAUCUAACAGAUUCAACCACACACACACCCUGGAACACACAUCCAAGUGUUUUUUGCUCCAGUUGCCUUCUUUAAUGACUUCAACAUGGGCCUUCAAACAUUUUUUAUUUUAGCAAUGGUUCUGAAUUUUGCUCACAGCAGGGACAUGCAAGAUUCAGAAACCAGAGACUUGGUUCUUCAACAAACAGUGACAGGGAUUUUGGGGGAAGAGGUCUACUUGCGUUGUCUGUACACUGGACAAAGUAGCAUAACGUUCUCCUCCUGGAACCGUAUCGAUUCUUCAAACAAGGCAAAGAAAAUGGCAGGCUACAAAUCCAAUGAGAACUCUUUCAAAAGAGAAAACUUUGACAUCCCAGCAUCAAUUACAAACCUUACUGUAAAGGUGAACGUGACAAGUUUUGAUCAAGAGGGAGAAUACACAUGUGUCUUUGACUCUGAUGAGGAUGAAACCAAGGAAACCAUGUUUCUUACUGUUAUUGCUCGGCCUGAUGUUGACAUAACUAUGAAAAAGGAAGUUGUGAAUGGGACUCUCUACCAUGCUGUCACUUGCUCUGCCUCCAGUGCCAAGCCUGAGGCUGUGAUUAGAUGGGAGAUCUCUGGUGCCCUUCCAAGAGAUGACAUCUUCUCUGUGAACUUGAUUAAUCCAGUUCAUCCCAAUGGCACAACCAGUUCAAUCAGUGUACUUCGCUUCCCCCUAAUUAUGAAUAAUGAGAGCACUGUUACCUGUGUGGUUGAGCAUCCAGCUUUUACUGAACCCAAAAGAGCCAAGAUAGAGGUGGACACAUUUGUUUCUCCUGUUAUAAGCAUGAAGACCGUCCUGGUCCAAAAAGGAGGAGAAGACUUUCAAGAGGUCAUCUGUACAGCAACAGGAGGGAGGCCACAUCCAAAUAUCACAUGGAUACUGCCUGAAUUCAAAAACACACCACCUUUACAGAGAAAUGUCUCCAAACCAGAUUCUGUUAUCAGUUCAUAUCAGUUCCCAUCAGAUCCUUAUGAAGGAGAAAAUAUCUCUUGUGUAUUUAGCUAUGCGUUUCUCCCAUUCAUAAACACAAGCACAAUCACUUUGCCAAUUUACUAUCUUUCCUCACUUCAGCUGAAGAACUUGGAUUAUGCCAUUAACAGUGAGAACCAGACUUCAUUGUCACUUGUGGAGGGUGGCAUGGACAUUACAAUCAGGAUGGAUGUUUUAGGCAAUGUACCAAGUUAUAAAGUGAAAUGUUCCAGGGAAGGCCAACCACUACCUGAGGAUGUGGAUUUGGUUGGCAACAGUCUCUUAGUCAGAGGACCUGUUGAGCUGCACCUUGCUGGACAAUAUCUCUGCCAGGCCUCUUACCGUAGACAUCAAGUUUCCCUGCAGUUUACAAUUAAAGUAAAUCCAAAAGUCCUACUGCCAGUGACAUUUCCCCCAAAUAUCAGCGUGAAUUAUGUAGAGAAUUCAGACUACAUUCACAUUGAGUGUUUGGCCUCCAAUGCUGUACCUGCUGCAAAUGUGUCCUGGGUUCUUUCAAAAGAGAUUAAUAGUACAAUUCAGUCUGAAGAAACACACUAUAAUGGAUCUAAUUCUGUCAGAAGUGUGUUGACUGUGCCUAGCUGCAUGACCCGCAGAUAUGUAAUUGAGUGUGUAGUCGACCAUCCUGACUUCACGGAAGAAGAGAGGCGGCAGAUUGCUCUUCCUGUGUGUGCACCACCGAAUAUUACCCUGCAGUCUAGUGUUGAAUGGGACAGUGGCAUUGCUUACGCAUCACUGGUGUGUUCAGUGCAGAGCCAGACCCCAGCAGCGGCCAUCACCUGGGCUGUAGAGUGCCAUGGCAUUAAUAAUAACUCUAGUGAACUUGUAAUGACUCAACCUGAGCUUCAGCAGAGUCAUAUGGUUGUCGCUCAGAGCGUGGCACAUAUUCCUAUUUACUCACAUGCCGGAUGCACUGUGACCUGUGUGGUUGAGCAUCAAGGGUUAGAGAAACCAGAGAACAAGAGCAUCGUCCUCCCAUCCUUAGGGCCGUCUGUAAGCCGUGCGUUUCUGGGUGAAGAGAGUUACACUCUUAUUUGGCAUGCUGUGUGUGAGUACAGCGGCGAUGGGGUGAAACCCAACAUCUCCUGGGUCUUUCCCGAUGAAGACACUGUAAUACUGGUGACUACUGAAUCCAGAUAUGAUGGAAUCAAAGUAGAAGUCAAUUUAACUCAUGAAUUUCAACUCAGUCAGUAUGAGGGGAAAGAUUUGAUAUGUCUGAUCCAGAACAAGCUCGGCAGGGAUGAAAGACGGACAAUACAUGUUCCAAAAUACUCUAUCUCAUCUAUUGAGGUUUUAAACAAAACCACACUUGAUCGUAGAAGUCAUGGCCAGAAUGAGCAUCGUUUAGCACUGCAAGAAAACCUCUCGAAUCAGAAGAUACUUCUCAGAGCCCACGGCAAUGUUCCAUCGUACAAGACAACAUGUUACAGGGAGGACGGGUCAGCAGCUGACACAGAGGACAUGGCAUUAGUUUUUACAGUGCCGGUGUCUGAACUGGAUGCAGGAUUGUACAUAUGCCAAGUCUCGUACCAUCACCACACGGCUAAUGUUUUCAUUCGGGUGGAUGUAACUAGUGAUGAGACUCAACACAGUGAGUUUUCCACAUGUCAGGCCUAGAUUAUCAAUACUGAUAUUUAGAAGUGUGGUGAAUUGAUUUGUAAUGAAAGUUUGUUUUCCACAGUGAUAUUCAUCAUUAUUUGCUUCUCGUCAGCUGCUGCAAUCACCCUCAUCUUGAUUAUCAUUUUGGUUGUCCUCUGGUGAGUAGACUCGCUUUCUAACAAACUUAGGUUAAAUUCUACUGUUUUCUUUUUGGAUAUUACCAUACAGGUGAGAUCAGUGGAGGCAAACAGGAAGCAAGGUAGCUUACCUAGACCAAUGACAUGCAUCGUGUUCAUAAACAGGAUACAUGGUGGCUGGCAUAGAACAACACCGCAUCUACCACAUCUGUACUUUCAUGCGACAUAAACAGAUUCAUGUUCAUGUCUCAGCAGCGGAGAAUGGUGUCAAUUUAAAUUGCAUACGUAUCUGAGGCUUUGAUUUAAAAAAGAAAAAAAAAACCUUGACACGUAAAUUUCCUAUUGUUAUUUCUUUCUAGUAAAAGUGGGAGAAGUCACUCAUCAGAAAAUGGCCAAAAGGUAAACAAAGUGUUAUAUAAUCAUUUCAACAUUUUGUCCAGGAAAUAUCAAUGGCUCAUUUCAUUUUUUUUUUUUUUUCAAAAGAAAAACAGGACAGAGCGUGAGUCUCUAGCAGCUCUAAUGCAGGAUCCUCGCUGCGCAGAGAAGACGGUGAUUCCAAGCACGGCUGGGCCGCACUAUGCUGAGCUUGUGCACUAUUCCAUUGUUUUUGAUGCUAAAAGCACAGUGUGACACUCCUGUUGGGUUUUACGACUGUAAUAUAUCAGUUUUUGCACAUACUUGUGGAGUUUGUGGCAGCUUGAGUGCAUGCUUUUAAAAAGGGAACAUGCUUAAGAAAUUCAUUCAUUUUUAAUCAGACUGUUUUGCUGAUGAUAUAAUAUGUAAUGGAAAAAGAAAAUGGAAAUUUACUUAAAGUUUUCUCUACCCAGGCCAUCCAAGAUUUAGAUAAGUUUGUUUCUUUAUCAGAACAGAUGAAAGUGAUGUGACAUACAGCCAAGUAUGGUAACCCAUACUCGGAAUUCGUGCUCUGCUUUUAACCCAUCCAAAGUGCACACACACAGCAGUGAGCACACACACCCGGAGCAGUGGGCAGCCAUUUAUGCUGCGGCGCCCGGGGAGCAGUUGGGGGUUCGGUGCCUUGCUCAGGGGCACCUCAGUCAUGGUAUUGAAGGUGGAGAGAGCGCUGUACAUUCACUCCCCCCACCUACAAUUCCUACCGGCCCGAGACUCGAACUCACAAACCUUGGACUGCAAGUCCGAUUCUCUGACCAUUAGGCCACGACUUCCCUGAUUUGGAGAAAUUUAGCAUUGCAUUAGUUACUCACCAAUGGAUCCUCUGCAGUGAAUGGGUGCCAUCGGAAUGAGAGUCCAAACAGCUGAUAAAAACAUCCCAAUAAUUCACAAGUAAUCCAUAUGACUGUGAUCCAGUCUAUCAAUUAAAUCUUGUCAAUUGAAAAUCUGUGUGUUUUUAAUAAACACAUUAAUCAGGCUUCUCCA